UACAGAGGUCCCAAGCGUUUGUUCGGAUUCACUGGGCGUAAAGGGUGCGUAGGUGGUGAGGUAAGUCGGAUGUGAAAUCUCCGAGCUCAACUCGGAAACUGCAUUGGAAACUACCUUGCUAGAGGGUUGGAGGGGGGACUGGAAUACUUGGUGUAGCAGUGAAAUGCGUAGAUAUCAAGUGGAACACCAGUGGCGAAGGCGGGUCUCUGGACGAGUUCCUGACACUGAGACACGAAGGCCAGGGGAGCAAACGGGG
rnacentral:rRNA from 1 species